UGAGGAAUAUUGGUCAAUGGGCGAGAGCCUGAACCAGCCAAGUCGCGUGAAGGAAGACAGUCCUAAGGAUUGUAAACUUCUUUUAUACGGGAAUAACGGGCGAUACGAGUAUUGCAUUGAAUGUACCGUAAGAAUAAGCAUCGGCUAACUCCGUGUCAGCAGCCGCGGUAAUACGGAGGAUGCGAGCGUUAUCCGGAUUUAUUGGGUUUAAAGGGUGCGUAGGUUGUUCGGUAAGUCAGCGGUGAAACCUGAGCGCUCAACGUUCAGCCUGCCGUUGUAACUGCCGGGCUUGAGUUCAGUGGCGGCAGGCGGAAUUCGUGGUGUAGCGGUGAAAUGCAUAGAUAUCACGAGGAACUCCGAUUGCGAAGGCAGCUUGCCAUACUGCGCCUUACACUAAAGCACGAAGGCGUGGGUAUCAAGCAGG
rnacentral:rRNA from 1 species